GCUAUAGUGGUGCAAUGGUUAAGCAUUUGGCUGCUAACCAAAAGGUUAAUGGUUCGAACCUACCAGUAGCU
rnacentral:tRNA from 1 species